rfam:Heligmosomoides polygyrus genome assembly, scaffold: HPBE_scaffold0002616
GCGCCGGUGGUGUAUGGCGAACAUCGCUGCUCGUAAGGCAGAAGAUGCGGGUUCGAGUCCCGCCUGGUGCA